CAGUCGCCGCGGUAAUACGGAGGGUGCAAGCGUUGUCCGGAUUUAUUGGGUUUAAAGGGUGCGUAGGCGGCUAUUUAAGUCAGCGGUGAAAGACUCCGGCUCAACCGGAGCAGUGCCAUUGAUACUGGAUAGCUUGAGUGUUGGAGGGGUACAUGGAAUUGAUGGUGUAGCGGUGAAAUGCAUAGAUACCAUCAGGAACACCGAUAGCGAAGGCAUUGUACUGGCCAACAACUGACGCUGAGGCACGAAAGCAUGGGGAGCGAACAGGAUUAGAUACCCCCGUAGUCCCUGUCUCUUAUAC
rnacentral:rRNA from 1 species